AGAGUUAAAUAGUACGUGAAAUUGUUGAAAGGGAAACGAUUGAAGUCAGUCAUGCUAGUGAAAAUUCAGUUUGGUGGGUUUUGGGUUCAGGAGUUGAGGCAGGGUCAAACCGUUUCUCUUUUGAACUUGGAAUUUGUCAGAUGCACUUUUUCUUUGGCAGGUCAGCGUCGAUUUCGGAGGUUGUAAAAUACUUGGGGAAAAGUAGCUCUGCUUCGGGAGAGUGUUAUAGACCUUGGGUGAUGCGGCCUGCGGGAUCGAGGAUUGCAGCAAAUGCUUUUGGCUUGUCGCCUGAUCUCUGGACGUCAUCUCGCUUGUAUCAACAUUCUUGGUACCGGUGAGUAAUGGUGCUCAUAGGUUAGAGCGAUCAAAAAUUUUGCUAAGGAUGCUGACGUAAUGGCUUUAAACGA
rnacentral:misc_RNA from 1 species